UGCUUUGAGUGCUUUCUGCUUUCGUUCAGUUCACACAUGGUUCACCACAGUUUCGAUUUAAGAGACAAAGAAGAUUACAAAGAGCCCUGCUGAAAGAACACUAUUGGGAAACGAAGGACGUAGCACGUGGUUGCACGAAAAAUAGCACAAGCUAUAAAUUAUAAAAAUGUGGUCGUCCUCGUCCUUUCAUCUACUGUCGCGUCUCUUUAUAGAAUCGCUUAAAACACACUUCAUGCUGUUUGGCAGAUUUUACGCCUGAGCCAGCCAUAAAAAACCAUAAGAUACGCCAGGCUUGUGCUGAAUGUGUCAUCUACAGCACUGUCAGCAGUAUCAUCACUUGGAUAAACAGCAUCCGGCAUCCCUUUUGAUUGGAGAAAAAACCGAUGUCGUCCAAAUUACGGAUCUCUUCGUAUUCCCCUUUCUUUAAAUGUCAUACAGUCAUACACCCAUGUCAGUGUGGGGGUAUACACGAGGACGCCCUUUUCCCUAUUCGGCCUGGUGGAUUCAACUCUUCAGAAGACGGAGCAACUGUGGAUGCCUUGCCGUAUUUCUCAGGCUUGGGUAGGCAAAUUUAUCACCAUUCUUCCUUUUCGACUCUUUGGGGGCGUUUAUUAUAAAUCGUUAGUACAAAGUACGAUAUGAUUCCUGA